rnacentral:rRNA from 1 species
CCUACGGGUGGCUGCAGUAGGGAAUAUUGCUCAAUGGGGGAAACUCUGAAGCAGCAACGCCGCGUGGAGGAUGAAGGCUUUCUGAUUGUAAACUCCCUUUGUUAGAGAAGAUAACCACGGUACCUAACGAAUAAUCACCGGCUAACUCCGUUCCAGCAGCCGAGGUAAUACGGAGGGUGCAAGCGUUACUCGGAAUCACUGGGCGUAAAGCGCGCGUAGGCGGGUUAGCAAGUCAGAUGUGAAAUGCUUGGGCUUAACCAUAGAAAUGCAUUUGAUACUGUUAGUCUAGAGAAUGGGCGAGGUAGGUGGAAUGCUUGGUGUAGGGGUAAAAUCCGUAGAGAUCAAGAAGAAUACUCAUUGCGAAGGCGGCCUGCUAGAACAUAGCUGACGCUGAGGCGCGAAAGCGUGGGGAGCAAACAGGAUUAGAUACCCGUGUAGUC